CUGAUAAUAAUCAUAAGUCUCCAAAAUAACAAACAUAAAUCAAAUCAUAUCAUCACAUCUCCGUGAGCUACAAAGCAUAACUGAUAACUCUCUCUCAUUAUAAAAUUUAUAUGUAAUAAGACUCACUCCCUAAAAGACUAAAAACCCAGUGGAUCCGCCGCUACUAAGCCCACAUAACGUCUAAACAACGCAAAAAAAGAAAAAAAAAUGAAGAAACCACUCUACACACCCAAUAAGCUAGUGACACGUAAUCAGAUAGAGAACCGGCCUCUUAAACCCUGAGAACUGAGCCGAACACCAGAGCGGAAAGGAGAGCGACACCAGCGGCGGCUAAGGAAGGCGAGAUCGAGCCGGCUCCGGAAGCGGGAGCUGGAGCGGGAGAGAGAUCUUGAGCCGACCCUGCGAGAACCAAGGCGGCCAGGACAACGGCCAUCAUCAGCGUAGCCAUUGAAGCCUUUGAGAAUGCCAUUAUUGAAGCCUUUUUUUCUCAGGGUUUUUGAGAGCGUAACCGAAGGAAGCUGAGAGAGAUUCUUUUUCCUGUGUCUGUAUGUGGGAAGUGUUAGUAUUUAAGACAUGAGAAGAAAAUAGUGAGGUUUAUUUAUAGACUGAAAAGUGUGGACGGGAAGAGAGAAUUUCGGGCAGCGGCCCGGAUUUUUCCAGUCUGUCUAUUGGUUUCUUGACAGCUAUGUUUAUUUGUGGGGCCCAGUUAAUUAUAAUUUCACGCGACCGUUUAGGGUAUCGAACGGCGAAGCGACGUCGUGUCGGUUCACGAGUGUGACUUACGCCGAGGAAAUAAUUGAUUCUUUGGGAUUGGGAAAAAUUUGAGCAAAGUAAAAUUACGGAAACAGCAGCGAAUUAUAAUAUCGCAGUCUGUGAUAAACUUGAUAACUAUCUACUUGAAUUGAUAGGACAUAUAAAAAGAACAUUGUAUUAUUUAAAGGAUUGAAUAAUUUAAUUGAUAAAAAUCUCUUACCGCUAAGUUUGGAGAUCCAUUUGCACUCAAAUUUGGUGGAGGAAAAUUUUGAUUUCAGUUGUGUUAUGUUAUUAACAAAAAUUAUUGUUCAAAAAAUGCCUUUUUGUAGCUGCAAUAAAUGAGAAAAUUUUAAAGUACUUUUUUUUUAUUAUUUAUAUAAAUUGAACGAAAUCUUGGUGUGAUUAUUUUGUAAAUUCUCGAGAACUUUUGGGGUGGGGUGGGGGAUUUUGUGUAUGAAUGUAUGAUGAGUUCAUUGAAGAGGCGAAUGUUUAAUGGUGGGAUUGAUGAUUAGGGAUCAGUGAUGGUGCAGUUGAUUCCGCUACAAAGAUUUUUGUAAGCGCCCACAGACAGCCCACGUGGGAUGCGGUGGCUCGACCAUUAGGAGGAGGACGCGUGGAGACGUGGAAGGGCACGGGCUUUUUUAAUAUUCGAAUUUUGAAUUUGAAUAAUCGGAUGUGGACCUGUGGACAGUAUGAAAUGAUCGUGAAUUUUGUGGGUUUCCAGAACUUUCCGUUUGGCGUGUGCGACUGUGUGUUCAUUGGCAGGCACAUGUAGGAGUGUUACGAAGUUUACGCGUUAAACGUAUGCGGAAAGAAAAUGGUUUAACUUUGGGUAAAUGUUUAAAAAAGGAAAUUUCAAUCAACGCUUCUUCUUCUUCUUCUUUUUUUUUUUUUUAUUCCAUAAAAGAAGAUCUUUAAUUUCUGUAAUUAUAUCAUAAUUGAGUCCAAGAAGAUCUGGCUGCAUUGUUGUAAUUUUAUUUAGUUAACCAUAUAAAUUUGAGUCCCGAAGUUAAAAACUUAAUUUUAAUUUUAACUGCUCUUCCAUCUUCUUUUUGUUUUUGUUUUUGUUUUUAAAUGAUCAUGAAACACCUCUUCUCAUUAAUUAAUGUAGAAAAAAAAAGGUUUCAACCACUCCUACGUAUAUUAGCAUGAUUUCUUUUUUAAAUAUUAUUUGAUUGGUAUCAUUGCAAAGUUAAUUUAGAUUCAGUAGUUUAUUUUGGCUAAAACAUCAUAUAUUUAAGAUGCAUCAUCAGAAAAUUGAUUUAGAGUCACCUAAUUUUGAGCUCAAAUAUUAUAUAUUUGCACUCACAAUCAUAUAAUUGGUUUAGAUUUAAUCUGUUUUAAGCUCAAAUAUGUAGCUAUCACAUAAAUAAUUUAGAAUGUUACAAUAUUCUAAGGGCGUGGUCGGGUUAAUUAUAGUGCAGUUGUAGCCUCUACCAAAAUCCGGGUUCGAUUCUUAGAGAUCAAGAUUAUGUUUAGGCUCGCCCACCUCCUCUUACUUUAAAAAAAAAAAAUUUAGAAGGUUACUAAUAUUUUUUUAAUUAUAAAUAUCAAUAUAUAUUGUAAUGUAAUAUUCUUUUUUUUUUUAAAAAAAAAAGGUCAGGUAGAAUUGAUCUCCCUCAUACCAAAUUUUGUAAAAAAUAAUUUAGGUUAUGCCGAUUCAUAAGAUGAGGGGUUCAUAUAGUUUAGUUCAGUUGAUAAUUUUUUUUUUUUGGUUGAAAAAAGAGAUAUGAGAUUUAAAAUCAGUUUAGGUGAGCAAGGACGGUUUUGGGUUGUCACCGAGCUAAAUUAAAAAGGAUUAAUGAGAUGAGACGAGUGGUUUGUUAAAAAGAAUAGUGCCACAUAUUAUAAAGUUUGUGUCAAAAAAAUUCAUCCUAUAAAAGAAGAGACACUCCUAAUAGGCAUGAAAAAAAAUACAAUAAAUCGUUUUAAAACAUAACUGUGACUAGAACAUCCCCUUGUGAAGAUAUAUUUUUUAUUUUUUUAAAAAAAAUUAUUUAAAUAUCUCUAAUGUUCAUGCAACAAAUACGAUGAAUAGUCACAAGGGCAGUCUAGAAAAAGGCAUUUACAAAUACACGGCGGGCCAACAAAGAAUCAUUCACCUUCUAAUCCUUCGAUGUCUGCUUGCAACUCAACUAAACUAACAGCAUUCCAAAAUCAGCAAGAAAACGAUUUAAGAACUUAUUUUGGAAUGCUAUUAGUUUUUAAGGAUUAAUGAGAUGAGAUGAGUGGUUUAUUAAAAAGAGUAGUACCACCUACUGUAAAGUUUAUGUCAAAAAAAUCCAUCCAAUAAAAGAAGAGACACUCGUAAUAUGCAUUAAAAAAAAACACACAAUAAAUCAUUUUAAAACAUAACGUGAAUCAAACAUCACCUUAUGAAGAUAUAUAUAUUUAAAUAUCUCAAAUGUUCAUGCAACAAAUGCGAUGAAUAGUCACGAGGGCGGUCGAGAAAAUGCGUUGACAAUUACACGACCGGCCAACAAAAAAAUCAUUCACCUUCUAAUCCUUCAGUGUCUGCUUGCAACUCAACUAAACUGAUAGCAAUUAGCAUACCAAAAUAAGCCAAAAAAAAAAAAAAAAAAGAUUUAAGAAUCUUAUUAUUUUACUCGUUAAUAUUGCUAAGCAUAUGGCAGCCCUGGGCGGCUGUGGAGUGCAGCCUGGCGUUGGAUUUGCUCACAGACAGGACCUGUAAGGCUGAAACAACACGGCAGCAACAAAGAAAGUAGUUUUAUUUACGUAAUACAAUUUUUUAUACCUUUAUUUUUUAUCUGCAUGAUUUAGUUCUUACACAGACGUGCUAACGAGAAUCAUCCAGUAGCUGGUGUCACUUGUCAACUACUCCUUAACUUAAAGAGCAUAUUUGGGAUUGUCAAGUAUUCCCAAAUUAGUGAUUAUUUGAGAAUUUGUUAUCACAUAUGGUUGGUUCGAGUUAUUCUCUCAGACAUAUCACACCAAUAAUCAUCAAAUAAGUGAGAAUCAAACAAAAUUUGAAAGCAAAUUCUCAAGUAAUUGGUUAGAUUGUAUGAAAAUUUGACUUGUGAAUAUCAAGUAACCUCAGAAUUAGAAUGACUGUAAUGUAUACAUUGGCAUUUACUAUUUACUAAUCACCAAUCAUAGCUUUCUAUUUGGCUCAAUGGCUGAGUGCAAAUCCAGAUGAGCAUGAAAUUCAAAUCAACUCAAAAACCGUUAGAGAAAACAAAAUAUCUUUGAAGUAGUUAUCACUUCAUUAUUAUCAGUAGGAUGAAAAUGAUCGAAGUUAAAAACGUCCAAAAUUAUUAAAUUCAUUUAUCUAACCUGAAUAAUGGACACAUAUACCACGUUGGCUGUCAUUCCUCUGUACAUACAAGAAUCUCACUGUAUCAUCAAAGAGGCUAAUCCUAUGUAACAGUCCUCUCAAUUCGUAUUAUGCAACACGUCUAUCCGAAAAGCUCCUAAUCAUCUUUCUUCCUCGGCUAUUACCAUUCAUUCAAAAGUCAACUCAAAAGGUAGACAAAUUUAUUUGUUAAAAGCCCAAAACUUUAGAUGAUAUAUUCAUCAGAGGUUGUAAAGCACUCGGUGCAAAUUUUCUUCCAAAGAGAAAGCAAACUGUAGAGGGCUGGUUAUUGUAUUUGCAAUGCUGACCUCCAUAAACUUUCUUGAAAAACUCCUCUGUUAUGUCGGCUCUUCCGAAUGUGGCUGGAUGAGCACCACCUCUCGACCAAUCAACCCAAGUGCUGCUUCUAUUUGCCAAGAGAUUUGGCAUUUGAAUAGAUAGCAUGGUGGGAAAAUAGUGUUCGUCCACAUAACAAGGUGGUCUACAGAAUUCCGCGAAUUUUGGAUAAUAUGUAGUAUCUUCCACAAUGUUGACUGCAAGCCUUCGGUUGAUUUCAAACCAUUGGGAUCCUUUGCGCCACUGGGUAAUGUUCACCACAGGUGCCAUGUUCGCAUUGUAGCGUCCUCUCCCAUAUGGUCCAGGGUCAUCAAAUGAACCCAUGAAACUAUGUUUGGAUUUCUUUAUGUAAUGGUAGAUGAGGGAGAAAUUAUAAAGAGGAAUGCAAGACUCAGAGACAAGAAUGAACCAUUCAUUGGAGAUAUCAAGCAAUGCAUUAGCAAGGAGUCUUCUCUCAGCAUCGCACAUGCUCAUUUUUCCCCAUUCAGAGAUCUGCAAAGGGAAGAUACAGAAGACAUUACAAUCUCCUCUAAAUUUUGGGAAAUAUUGUAUUCAAAGCUAUGUGCUAAAGUAAAUAGAAUAAGCAGAUAAAGCAUAACCAUCAAAGGCUUUCAGAAGAAUGCAAGACAGUUCCACUACCAAACACUUCACCUAGAACAUGUAAUGAUAACAUUUGGUAAAGGUAAUCAUAAAACCUGUUAUUUUCCAGGAUCAAAGGGUAUCAAGUAUCAAUUUUACAUUUGGGACAGGAUUAUGGUAGCUGCUUGUUGUUGAAAUGGCACUGUAGCAGAGCUAACCAAAUCAGAUCUCCAUUUCUUGGAGGAUUUGUAUCCUGUUCCAGUUACUACAAGGGGGCAACUCAAGAACAUACAUGUCUUCCUACUUGUCCAAUACAAAAACGUAGGGAGAAAAAAAAAAUCAAAUAAAACGCACUUCGUCGAGCCAAUAUACAUACAGACAGCUCAACCCUCCCCCUUGGUGUUUUGGGAUCCAAAAUUUUUCACCUCCACACGAUAUAUGGCAGUGGUUACCAGCCUUAGAUAAACUUACACUGUUGCAGUUCCCAACUUUCAAAAUUCAACCCAAAAAAUGACCGACUCUUAUUGUUGAUCAUUCACUCAAACCCAGUUUUGCUGGUGAAAGUUAUAAUGUAUGCCAUCAAAUUAAUUAGAAAAUGUUUGCCAAGUAACAUUCAAGAAUGCCACCAUGUCAUCUAUGGAUUGUCCGCUCCUGCUAGAUUCCUCGCAAUUUCUCAUGGACUCCAAUAAUCCGUAAGGCAAUCAGGGGAAAAAAAAAGGAGCAAAAUUUUAACUUGGCUAAGCAAAAACAGAAUAUAUUUAGUUUAUAAACAGAAUCUGUUAAUCAGCAUAUUCCUAUUCAACAGAGUAUUUCUAGACUUUGAUCGUGAAUCACCAUGCAUAUAAAAGUGAUGAUGCUAAAUGGGAACACUACUUUCUACUUUCAAACACCAAGAGCCUACAGAUGACUGAGAGGUCCUAAGAACUGAAGAUUGUUAAACAAAAUUCGGAAAGCUAUGCAAGCAUGCUAACACUAUAUAGAUCCUCAAAAGAAUAAUUCACAUUAUAGGUAAAAAAUAAAGUACUGCUCAUCAUCACUCAAGAGAAGAAGAUCAUAACUUACAUCGUCAUAUAAUCAAUAGUACAACAAAGAUGAUCAGAUGAAGUUUCCACCAGAAUUUUAAAUGAAUAAAUAAAACCUGCAAUAGAUAGAUAUAAUGUCAGGCAUACCUGACUUGGGAUUUGUCUGUUGUAAAAAACUGAUGAAGAUGGAAACUUGUUCUCGAAUGUUGGCAGAGAAUGAACAUAGAUAGAAUAUAGCCCUUCAUGCCCCUUGAAAAACUUCUCCCAAAGAGGUCCAAGAGGUAAUGGCCCCUUCGUCAAGAACAUAAAUGCAAUCUUUGGAACUCUCUUAAAGGGAUACUCCUUCACUCGAGGCACAAAUGAGGCCCUCCAAAAAAGCUCCUUAUCACUCAUUGUGUGCAUUAAAUUUGAUGGAGGAUUUAUCCAAUAAUCCAAACCAUUCGGUAGUUCAGGGCAUGCCACAAAACUGGACUUAACCGUUGUCACAACACUCUGGACUCCAAACCGACGAACUGAGUAUAUACUAAUCAACGAAAAGGCUAUACACAGAGCCAGAAACAAACCAAAUAACUGAAAUAAUCUCAGUGGCAAGGCCCUAAAUUGAUUUGUCUUGUUAACAACUGCAGGGUCUUUGCCUUCCUCUAGCGGAACAACCCUUGCUUGCAUCUUUAUAACUCUAAAUCAAAUCAAAAUUUCACCUUCUGCGUCAGAUCCAAAUCAACAUCCUAGCAUCAAAAGCACUACUAAGCCUCAAAAUACCAGCUAAUUUAUUCACCAGAGCUAGCAAAAAAAACAGCUUUUUUUAAAUAUUUGAAAUUUGUGGAAUUCAAUAUGUUUCAGCAAAACAACCCCACUUAGCAACAGUAACGAAAUUAGAUCUAGAGCUGACACUACAGUACUCAAAAAGCAAGUAUUAACAGAUAUAGCACAAUCAUCAGCUUUCACAGCACAUGGGUUUCUUGAAUAAGAAGCUCUUAGCAAAAAUCAAAAGUCCAGAUCGGACUACUUGAUAGUCUAUAGAUCAAACGAAACCAUUAACGUGAUUGGUGGGGUGAUGAAAAACAGUACACGAUGGUGAACGUUCAACAUACCAUGUAAAUUUGUUGGGGCUAUAUGAGGAAACAAAGUUUGAAGCUUUAGCUCGAAUUGCGCCACCAAAGAAGAGAAACAGAACGGUCAAAUAAAUGAACAAAGUUAGGCAAAGAAAAUAAGAGGAGAAAAAGAGAAAAGUCCUUGGGACGCCCAAAGAGAGAGAGAAAAGGAGGUCCAAGAAAGUGGGGAAUCAAGGAAAUUUUGAGUGUGUGUGUAUGUAUGUAUAUAUAUAUAUAUAUAUAUAUAUAUAUAUAUAUAUAUAUAUAUAUAUAUAUAUAUAUAUGGGACUUUGAAUUUGAGGAAAUCACAGAAUUGUAAUUAGGUGAAUUGUGAAAUGUGGAGAAUUCAAAGAAUGUUUUUUGAUUUAACACGUACAGUGGAAGUGUCUGCUUCGUCUUUUGUGGGUUAGCCGUCACCAUGUGAGAGGCGGUUUUUGCAAGGUAAUAAUACGGCAAUGUCUUGCUGUCAUUUUGUAACGUUUUGGAAAACAAAUUUACCCUGAUUCAUUUGCCUUGAUAGAUCCUUUUUUUUUUUUAACCUUUUUUUUUAUAACUUGAAAUAGAAUGAAAUUAGUCAAAAUUUAAAUUUGAAUGAUAUGUAAAUUUUUUUAAAAUUUUUAAAAAUAAAUAUUAAAUUAUUUGUUUUUUAAUUUUAAAAAACUGACAGCCUAUACUUUUACAUUUUUACCCUUACUAAAUUUAAAUGUUGAAUAAAUAAUAUAUUUUUAAAAGAACUUAAAUAUGAUAAUAACAUUAUCUUUUUUUUUAAAAAAGGAUAAUAACAUUAUCUAAAUCAUCUUCAAGUAAAUGAUUUAUGAAAUCAUUCACUUGGCAUAGGGUUGUUCUAACUUAACCAAUGUUUUUUAUUCGAAUCUUGAAAAUGCAGUUGCGUUAAAUACUUAUUGGAAGAGCUUUGACGCCCUAGUGGUCUUACCCAGCUCGAAUUUGAAUUAGUCGAGACCUAAUGUAGUUUCGGAUACCAAAUAGUUUAAUACACGAAAAAAAAAAUUUAUAAAAUUAUAAUAUAAAAAGUUCUUUAAAAUUAUCACAAGUUCACAAUGCUAGUGCGUAAUAUAAGAAAAAACUAACAAGAUACUUGGGAAGUAAAAAAAAAGAAAGAAAAAACUGAACAAAAAUUCUACAAGAAAAGACUGUCAAUGGAAUCAAUUAUGGACUAUCAAAGGCCAUAAAGGAGAUUCAAGAAAUCCUUCGCGUGAAUGUUGUGUCUCAUCAUGAAAAGUAUCUUGCCUUGCCAUCUAUGGUAGGGAAAAACAAAAGACAAUUCUUCAAGUCGAUCAAGCUUCGAGUGCUCAACAAAUUAAAAGGAUGGAAGGCCAGGCUCUUCUCAAGCGGUGGGAAGGAAGUAUUGUUAAAGGCUGUCAUUCAAGCCACUCCUGUUUAUGCUAUGGGCGUUUUCAAGUUGCCAAAAUGCUUAUGCGAGGACCUACAGCGUUGCAUCACAAAUUGUUGGUCGGCCAACUAUGAUGACUCUAAAUGCAUUCACUGGCUUUCUUGGAAGAAUCUUUGCAAGCCAAGGAAGGACGGGGGGCAUGAGAUUUAGAUAUUUAGGUCCUGUUUGUGAUUGAAGUAUGCUGUUAAAAAAAAUUAUAGUUAUAUUAUAAAAAUUAAUAAUAUGUAGUAAAUAUAAAUUUUAAAUAAUAAUUUUGACAAAAUUAUUAAAGAUAUAAUAGAUUUUAUAUUAUACAAGUGAAAAAUCAUAUCAAUCUAAUUUUUAACUUAUAGCAGUUAGUAUUUACUGAACACUUUAGUGCUGUAGCUUAACCUCAAUCUCAAACGCGCUCUUAAGUUCCUUUAAUUAAGCGCUCUUGGCCAAGCAAUGUUGGGGAAUACUACAAGCACCUGAGUCUCUUUUGGCCAAAGUUCUUAAAGCUAGGUACUUUUCCAACACAAACUUCCUAAGUAGCAAAAUCAAAAGCGGCUCAUCUUUUGUAUGGAAGAGUACUCUAUGGGGCCGUGAAGCUAUCAACACUGGCUCAAGAUGGAGGGUUGGCGCUGGUAGGAGCAUAUUUAUUUAUAGAGAUAAUUGGAUGC
rnacentral:lncRNA from 1 species